rnacentral:rRNA from 1 species
GAUGAACGCUGGCGGCAUGCCUAAUACAUGCCAGUCGAGCGAACAGACGAGGAGCUUGCUCCUCUGACGUUAGCGGCGGACGAGUGAGUACCACGUGGAUAACCUACCUAUAAGACUGGGAUAACUUCGAGAAACCGGAGCUAAUACCGGAAAAUAUAUUGAACCGCAUGGUUCAAUAGUGACAGACGGUUUUGCUGUCACUUAUAGAUGGAUCCAGGCCGCAUUAGCUAGUUGGUAAGGUAACGGCUUACCAAGGCAACGAUGCGUAGCCUACCCGAGGGGGUGAUCGGCCGCACGGGAACUGAGACACGGUCCAGACUCCUACGGGAGGCAGCAGUAGGGAAUCUUCCGCAAGGGGCGAAAGCCUGACGGAGCAACGCCGCGUGAGUGAUGAAGGUCUUCGGAUCGUAAAACUCUGUUAUUAGGGAAGAACAAAUGUGUAAGUAACUAUGCACGUCUUGACGGUACCUAAUCAGAAAGCCACGGCUAACUACGUG